GAUCCNGGCUCAGGAUGAAUGCUGGCGGCGUGCCUAACACAUGCAAGUCGAGCGGCAGCGAGGGGUGCUUGCACCCUGUCGGCGAGCGGCGGACGGCUGAGUAACGCGUAGGAAUUUGCCCCAAAGUGAGGGAUAACUGCCCGAAAGGGUAGCUAAUACCGCAUACGGUCUUCGGAUUAAAGGAUUUAUCCGCUUUGGGAGAAGCCUGCGUUGGAUUAGGUUGUUGGUAGGGUAAUGGCCUACCAAGCCGACG
rnacentral:rRNA from 1 species